AUUGAACGCUGGCGGCAGGCCUAACACAUGCAAGUCGAGCGGAUGAGUGGAGCUUGCUCCAUGAUUCAGCGGCGGACGGGUGAGUAAUGCCUAGGAAUCUGCCUGGUAGUGGGGGACAACGUUUCGAAAGGAACGCUAAUACCGCAUACGUCCUACGGGAGAAAGCAGGGGACCUUCGGGCCUUGCGCUAUCAGAUGAGCCUAGGUCGGAUUAGCUAGUAGGUGAGGUAAUGGCUCACCUAGGCGACGAUCCGUAACUGGUCUGAGAGGAUGAUCCGUCACACUGGAACUGAGACACGGUCCAGACGCCUACGGGAGGCAGCAGUGGGGAAUAUUGGACAAUGGGCGAAAGCCUGAUCCAGCCAUGCCGCGUGUGUGAAGAAGGUCUUCGGAUUGUAAAGCACUUUAAGUUGGGAGGAAGGGCAGUAAGUUAAUACCUUGCUGUUUUGACGUUACCAACAGAAUAAGCACCGGCUAACUUCGUGCCAGCCGCCGCCGUAAGAC
rnacentral:rRNA from 1 species